rnacentral:rRNA from 1 species
GGAGGGGAGGGGGGGGGGGCGGGGUGAAGACGGAGGGGGGAAGGGGUGACCGGAAUCGGGGGGCGUAAAGGGGGGGGAGGCGGUCCGGGAAGGCCGGGCGGAAAGUCCGGGGCGAAACCCCGGGAGGCGGGCGGAGACUGCCGGGCGAGAGUCCGGAAGAGGCGAGUGGAAUGCCUGGUGUAGCGGUGAAAUGCGCAGAUAUCAGGAGGAACACCGAUGGCGAAGGCAGCUCGCUGGGACGGUACUGACGCUGAGGCGCGAAAGCGUGGGGAGCAAACAGGAUUAGAUACCCUUGUAGUC